rnacentral:rRNA from 1 species
UUUUAUGAGAGUUUGAUCCUGGCUCAGGACGAACGCUGGCGGCGUGCCUAAUACAUGCAAGUCGAACGCAUUUUCUUUCACCGUAGCUUGCUACACCGGAAGAAAAUGAGUGGCGAACGGGUGAGUAACACGUGGGUAACCUGCCCAUCAGCGGGGGAUAACACUUGGAAACAGGUGCUAAUACCGCAUAAUUCCAUCUACCGCAUGGUAGAUGGAUGAAAGACGCUUUUGCGUCACUGAUGG